rnacentral:rRNA from 1 species
CGUGUAGGCGGUUGGUUAAGUCGGGUGUGAAAGCCCGGGGCUCAGCUCCGGAAGUGCAUCCGAAACUGGCCAGCUAGAGCGCGGUAGAGGAGGGUGGAAUUCCUGGUGUAGCGGUGAAAUGCGUAGAUAUCAGGAGGAACACCGGCGGCGAAGGCGGCCCUCUGGCCCGCUGCUGACGCUGAGACGCGAAAGCGUGGGGAGCAAACAGGAUUAGAUACCCUGGUAGUCCACGCUGUAAACUAUGGGUACUAGGUGUUCGGGGUGUUGACCCCCUGAGUGCCGACGCUAACGCAUUAAGUACCCCGCCUGGGGACUACGGCCGCAAGGUUAAA